GACCUUGAAGGGCCCUGGCCACUUCCCAGGCCAGUUUCCUGCAAUGCCCGGCUGCCGCCCGUGCCCCUCCUGCCUCCAAAACCCCAGGGUCCUCGGAGCCUCCUGCCGGAGCUGAGGACCCAGCUUCCCAUGGCCACCCUAAGGACAGGCAGAUCUGAACUCCCUGGCGCAGACGUGAGCCGUGAGCCAGGUUGGCAGCUGGAGGCACUGAGCAGGUGGCAGUCCUGCCUCCCCUGUGCUGAAUAGCAAUUGCCGACGCAGGGCUUCUGUUAUAAAUAGAAGAGGUUCAGGGCUGGGAGGCCUGGGGACUGCCUGCCACCCCCUCACUUGCCAGGUGGCCCUGGACACUCCCCUGAAGACCUGGAGCCUGCAGACUGUGGACAUUCAGUCCCUGCCAGUCCAGGACAGGCAGGAAGUGGGAUCCAUCCAGCGCAGGAGGGAAAUCAAGAUGUGGUGCUGCUGAGCUCAGAGGCCCACAGACCUCAGUCUUCCCUGGGUUCUGAGUGCUGAGUGGGGCAUCCAGGAGCAUCUGAGACCAGCCACCACCCAGCCCAUGACCGUCCCCUCGGAGAGCAGGAAGGAUUCUGAAACUUCUCACCCAAACCAGGACUUGACCAAUAAUUAAGCUGGGACCAGAGGCACAAAAGAGACUCCUGCUGACCUUCCAGAUAUGACAGAGGAGUUAAUGUGAAAUCUAGCUACUCCCGGGCCGGCGCCACGGGGAAGAGCCUUUUACACAAAUAUCUGUCACGUUUGCCGCACACACGUGUGACUCAAGGCAUGCCACUGUGAAUGUGGCGGGCAUGUUCUGCUCCGUGUUGUCCCCAGCGGCCAACACCUUCCCUAAAUGGAUUUAGGAGGCCAGUUCGCACCUACCUUGCCUGCCCCACCCCAGGGAGGGGCCGGGGCUGGGGGAGCACAACAGGGUGCUGCCAGCAAGCCCGCAUCCCCCCACUGUCAAUUAUUUCUCACAACUUAGGAAGAGCAGGGAAGUCCUGGGUCACGCGGCAUCGUCACCCACAAGCCAUUUCUUUUGCAGCUAGCCGGGCUCCUGCAGAAGCGUGUGUGAGUCCUGUGGAGAGUAGAGCCGUCUGGGUGAGAGACACUGGGGACAGCCGGAGCCAGCAAAGGAGCUCUGCCUGCACCCACCGCACAGCUGGGCGGGCUCACGCCGGCCGUCCCCGCAGGCCGGUCACCCCCCCCUUGGUUAAGGCACUUUGUUUCACAACCCCUCUGACAGGCCCCAAUUUCCUCAUUUCCCUGUUGGAACGCGUCGCAUCGUGUCUUGUUAGGAUCCUGCCUUUCCUUCCCUGCACGAGGUCUCCGCACAGACUCUUAGCGAACAUUAGUUUUUAAUGGCUGUAAUAUUCUUUCGAGUGGAUAAACCACAGGUUACUUAAACAUUCCCCAUGUUCAGGCACUUGGGUUUCUUCUAAUUAUUUUGCUACAAAUAUAUAUUUUUGUGUUUCGCAUUACUUCCUCGGGACAGCAGCCAAGCAAUUAACUUGCCCGUCUUGGGGGGGCCUUUCUAGAAGUGUGGUCACGUGGCCGGCUGCCUGCUCCCGGGAGUCCCUGCCUGCCCCGACACAGCCCCCCAGGCUCAGCCCCCAAGCAUGCAGCUUCCAGCCCAAAAGCACACUGUGGACAUCGGCACAUUUCAGUGUCUCCCCAUGUUAAUAAGAGGAGAAUUUUGUCGUAAUGUGCAUUUCCGUUAUUACUAGGGAGGGAGCACGCUCCUCCACAGUCCCUUCCUGGCUGCGUGUGGAUCGCGCAGCCGUGGGUUUUGGUCAGUGUCUAGUUGAGGCCGUGCGUUACCGAGGACCUUUGUGAACUCGUCCCGCACUAACGAUGCCCGCCCUUAGCGUGCCAUGGGCAGUUCUCCCCACACGACAGCGGCUCUCCUGGGCACACAAAAAUAUAUAUUUGUAGCAAAAUAAUUAGAAGAAACCUUUCUUGCACCUGCCAUAUGCAAAAUUUUCCUGUCUCCUGUGAACAGCUGCCAUUUCAUCUAUUCUUCUGGUUUUAAAUGCAUCCCCCCGCCCCAUGUCUUGCUCUUUGGCUCUGGAUUCCCGGCUUCUGGUGGGUGUUUUACCAUCAUCUGGACGCUGUCGACCCAGAGUUCACAGCCAGGAGCAGCGCCCAUGGCCUGCUUCAGCUCAUGGUGCAAGAGGGGGUUGGAGGGGCACCUCCCGCCUGCAGACCUGGAGGUUGGAGAGCAGCGCUCCUGGGUGGGGCCCGGGGCCGGGAAGUCCCCACACGGUCCCUCCUGGAGGGCUUUCUUCUCCCACGUCCCUGUAUUGGUUCUCAAUCAGGGACAACCCCCCCCCCAGGAACGUUUGGCCAUCUCUGGUUGUCACAACAGGAGCAAGGCAGGGGCACCCAGUGGGUGCAGGGGUGGAUGCCACUUGAGAUCCUACAGGGCACAGAACGCAGCACAGCCCCUGCCCCAGGACACAGAAUCGCCCAGCUCCUAAUGUCACUGUCUGGAGGUUAAGACGUCCUGCUUUAGGCUAGAUGGCAUCUUCCCGGGAGAGGCCACUACGGCUAUGCUGGACAAGGGCCCAGUGUCGGCCGGUCAGUCGGUGUGGCGGUCCUGCUGUGCGGUUCCGCCCUCCCUCCUGGAUGGCACUAGGCAGCAGCACACACACAGUCACAAGAAAAAGACCACCUGCCCGCUUCCCUUGCAGCUGGAUGCUGCUGUGCCCGGCACUGAGCUGUGAGCAGUGACAGGGGCAGCUUCAGGGGCAGGAUCAGCAGUCUGUUGCCACUCCUGCCUCCCUUCUCCUGGGCCCUAGGAUGUGGUGUUGGAGCUGCAGCCCCCAUUUUGUGCCAUGAUGUGGCUUUGGAACUGCAGGCUCCGUGGCUCAGUGCACCCACAGGACUGAAGCAGCCUGGUCCCUGGGAGCUCCUGGUCCCUGUGGCACAGCCCACUCCGGUCCUGGAUUGCCCACCCCCAUGCCCAUGGAAAGGGAAGACAGGUCCUCUCUGGGCCAUUGCUGUUCUGAGUCUCUGUGACUUGCCACUGAGCUUCAGCGUUGCAAAUGUGGAUUAGAAACCUUUGUGGAGGUUUCUGAUAAAUUCCAACAGGAAGCUGAGAGGAUUAAGCAGAAUAAAAUGUGCAGAUUUCUUAACUGA